UACAUGUGGGGCAAGCGUUGUUCGGAAUUACUGGGCAUAAAGGGUGCGUAGGCGGCUUGUUAGGUCACUGGUGAAAGUUUUCGGCCCAACCGGAAAAUUGCCUGUGAUACCGGCGAGCUUGAGUGCGUGAGGGGUGGGGGAACGAGCAGUGUAGCGGUGAAAUGCGUAGAUAUUGCUCGGAAGGCCGGAGCCGAAGGGGCCCACUG
rnacentral:rRNA from 1 species